GGUUUGAGUUUAGUUUUUUAGUUUUAUUUCUAUUUACAAAAAAAACACAAAAAUAUUUUAGAUUCUUUUUAUUUCGGAUUUUCUGCUUCAACAAUAGAAUUCGUUGGAAGUUUGAAGAUUGUUUAGUUUGUCGUCGAGAUCGGGUUUUCCUGCGCCGUCCGAGUCUUGCUAUUGGUUCGCAGUUCCUAGUUUGAAUUUCUGUUAUUUGUUUGCUGGGAUUUUGGAGUCAAAGCUCUGUAGUCGACCUCACUUCUAUUAUCAAAGAAAAAUUCAACUUCAGUUUUUAUGCAGAUCCAGGUAUUGAUCGUUAGUAGCUGAGUGGAUUCUUGCCGAGGAGACUCAAGUUGUGUUUAGAAGUUGUAGCGACACUCUUAGAGCUUAUGAGUUGUACCGCCGGUUAUGAGCUUAUGAGCAUGUUUGGUACAUUGGCUUAGGCGAGGUUGAUUCCAGUUGCACCAGCUACUUCACAGACAGAGGGAGGGACUCAGACUCCUGCUGGCCGCACUCCAGAGCAGCGAGUUCCCGUUGGUCAGGUUCCAGGUGUCAUGGCGACACGGCCUAUGGUUCUAGUUUAGCCCAUAGUCAGGGCAGCAACAUCUGAGGGAGGGAAAUUUAGAUUUGCAAGGUUCAAGGAAUAUGACCCUCCUACAUUCAGUGGUUUGGCUUCAGAGAGCGCACGAGGUUUCAUAGAGGAGUGCCAUCGCAUUCUUCGCACUAUGGGUAUUGUUGAGGCGAGUGGAGUUGCUUUUACUACGUACCGGCUUCAGGGAGCAACUUAUCAGUGGUGGCGGGCAUAUGUGUUGGGUAGCCCAGCCGAUACAGCUUCACUUACAUGGGGUCAGUUUUUAGAGAUGUUCUUGAGAGAGUUUGCACCUCAGUCCCUUCGGGACGCAUGGCACGUGGAGUUUGAGCAGCUGCGCUAGAGCACUAAGUCAAUGUUAGAGUAUGUCACCAGAUUCAGUAAUUUGGCCAGACAUGCACCUGCCUUGGUCGCUAC